rnacentral:tRNA from 1 species
GAAAGAAUAAGCUAAGUUUAAGCUGUUGGAUUCAUAUUCCUAUUAUAAGUUCUACAUCUUUUCUUUUA